GCCCACCAGCUAGGACUGGAACGCAAGGUCAAAGUCUCCGGCAGUAGAGGGGGGGGGGCACAGAGCAAGGGGUGGGGCUAGGCACCGUGCAGCUCCCAGGGACAGAACUUAGUCUGGCAAAGGAACCUCAUGUCCCCUGGCUCUAGUGAGCUGCCUGACUUUUCUGGCUGAUCCCAAGCCCCUGUGGACAGGCCCGUGGGGAGGAGGGGUUCAUGGGCACAAGAAGACCUAUCUCCCUGGCCAGCUGGAGAUGAGCCUCUUCCCUCCCUCUUGCUGCCACUCAGCAGAGGGGAGGAUCGGUCCCUGGGCAAUUGUGGGACCGAUCAGAAGAAGGCAGGAACUUCCAGGCCAGUCAGCUAGCUCACUGCUGUUCUGGGACACAGGACAGAUGAGACCGAGAAGGGGCGCCUGUCUGGGCAGCGAGGAUGUCCCAGAGACGAAAGCAGCAGGGCUCCAGUCCUUCUUCUGCCAAGGCUAGACCUCCAGCCUGGAAAGGGAGAACAAAACUCAUCUGGCCCCAAUAGGGGAGGGGAACUGUGAUGGUCCAGCCUCUACACCCAGCCUCGACUUGAGCAACAUCCACUGAGAAGGAAGCAGGAAUAACACAGGUGGGAUCCCAGGGCCACAUGAAUGCUAGGAUCCCCUAAAGAUACUAUCACCCCCAUGCAGCAGAAAGUAAAUUUAAAAAUACAACACUCACAUUCCCAAGAGGUGUUUUGUUUGCAUGGGCAUCUGUAUGUAUAAAACAUGAAUACUUCGUGCCUGAGGAGACCAGAAGAGGGUGUCAGAUCCCUGGAAUUGGAGUUACAGAUGCUUGAGUGCUGCCAUGUAGGUGCUGGGAACUGAACCUGGGUCUUCUGCAAGAGCUGCCAGUGCUCUUAACCACUGAGUCAUUUCUUUGCCCCAAGACUGAAACUUUUAAUUCAAAACUGAAUCAAAUCAAUAAAGUGCCUUGCUGAGCAUAGAGGAGACUGGGGUGAAAAAAAAAAUCACAAA